GACGAACGCUGGCGGCGUGCCUAAUACAUGCAAGUCGAACGCAGUGGGGACGGGUGAGUAACACGUGGGUAACCUCCCAUCAGAGGGGAUAACACUUGGAAACAGGUGCUAAACCGAUACUGAUGGAUGGACCCGCGGUGCAUUAGCUAGUUGGUGAGGUAACGGCUCACCAAGGCCACGAUGCAUAGCCGACCGGGGCGGGUGAUCGGCCACACGGGGACGGGGACACGGCCCAGACUCCUACGGGAGGAAGCAUAGGGAAAUCUUGGGAAAUGGACGAAGGUUUAACGAAGCAAGGCCGCGUGAGUAAAGAGGGUUUUCGGAUCGUAAAACUCUGUGGGUAGGGAAGCGGUAUCUAACCAGAAAGCCACGGCUAACUACGUGCCAGCAGCCGCGGUAAUAC
rnacentral:rRNA from 1 species